UACGUAGGGUCCGAGCGUUGUCCGGAAUUAUUGGGCGUAAAGGGCUCGUAGGCGGUUGGUCACGUCGGGAGUGAAAACUCAGGGCUCAACCCUGAGCGUGCUUCCGAUACGGGCCGACUAGAGGUAUGCAGGGGAGAACGGAAUUCCUGGUGUAGCGGUGGAAUGCGCAGAUAUCAGGAGGAACACCGGUGGCGAAGGCGGUUCUCUGGGCAUUACCUGACGCUGAGGCGCGAAAGCGUGGGGAGCGAACAGG
rnacentral:rRNA from 1 species